GAUGAAGAACGCAGCGAAAUGCGAUAAGUAAUGUGAAUUGCAGAAUUCAGUGAAUCAUCGAAUCUUUGAACGCAUCUUGCGCUCCUUGGUAUUCUGAGGAGCAUGCCUGUUUGAGUGUCAUUAAAUUCUCAACUACACUGACUUUGAAUUGGUGUGGCUUGGAUUUGGGGGGAAAAUUGUUGUGGGCUUUUUGUAUAGUCUGCUCCCCUGAAAUUGAUUAGCGGUACCUUUGUGGAACUGUCUACAGGUGUGAUAAUUAUCUACAUCUUAGACAUCUGCUGGAAUGCUGCUCUCUAAACCUUACUUGUAUUGACAAUCUGGACCUCAAAUCAGGUAGGACUACCCGCUGAACUUAAGCAUAUCAAUAAGCGGAGGA
rnacentral:misc_RNA from 1 species